UGCAAGUCGAACGGGAAACAUUUUAUUGAAGCUUCGGCAGAUUUAACUUGUUUCUAGUGGCGGACGGGUGAGUAACGCGUGGGUAACCUGCCUUAUACUGGGGGAUAACAGCCAGAAAUGGCUGCUAAUACCGCAUAAGCGCACAGAACCGCAUGGUUCGGUGUGAAAAACUCCGGUGGUAUAAGAUGGACCCGCGUUGGAUUAGCUAGUUGGCAGGGCAGCGGCCUACCAAGGCGACGAUCCAUAGCCGGCCUGAGAGGGUGAACGGCCACAUUGGGACUGAGACACGGCCCAGACUCCUACGGGAGGCAGCAGUGGGGAAUAUUGCACAAUGGGGGAAACCCUGAUGCAGCGACGCCGCGUGAAGGAAGAAGUAUCUCGGUAUGUAAACUUCUAUCAGCAGGGAAGAUAAUGACGGUACCUGACUAAGAAGCCCCGGCUAACUACGUGCCAGCAGCCGCGGUAAUACGUAGGGGGCAAGCGUUAUCCGGAUUUACUGGGUGUAAAGGGAGCGUAGACGGCGCAGCAAGUCUGAUGUGAAAGGCAGGGGCUUAACCCCUGGACUGCAUUGGAAACUGCUGUGCUUGAGUGCCGGAGGGGUAAGCGGAAUUCCUAGUGUAGCGGUGAAAUGCGUAGAUAUUAGGAGGAACACCAGUGGCGAAGGCGGCUUACUGGACGGUAACUGACGUUGAGGCUCGAA
rnacentral:rRNA from 1 species